GCUGCUGAUUUCACGCAAGAGAGAGUUGACUUGCCUUGGAGGGAGACUUUUUUGGUCUCAAUGAAGCUUGCUUUUACCUUCACCUUCCUCUCAUGAUGCUGCUACAGUUUGUAUAUAUGAUGUUGGUGUUCUUAAAACCAGGCACCACGAUCGUGUUGAUGCAUGAAUCACUACCUAACUAUCUGAUCAUAUUGGGUUAUCCGACUUAAAUUUAUUGUGAAUUUUGCAUUUGCCAUUUGAUGGAUUCUUCAACUGCGAGCAUGUCAAGGCCAAAGAAUGCUGAUACAGAUGAUCUGCAAGCCUAUGCAGAAGUAGAUCACAAAGGAGGAUCAAGGGAGAUUCAACAGCACAUACACAAGCACCCAAUGAUGCAGUAUGAUCUGGACAAAGAGAAGCUCACGUUAGUUGAGGAGUACGAGAAGCAAGUGAAAGGAAAGGGCAGUCUUUCGCCAAAUGAUGUUGCUCCUGGAAAUCUCAACAGAAAGAUACAGGAAAUUCUUUGGGAAGAAGAUGUGCUAAAGCAUGAACUUGAGAAAAUAACUACAAGAAUAGUCAUUGGAGAGCAUACGUGUCCAGUAUCUCAUCCAAAGGUCAAAAACCAGCCUUGAAGAAGAACAACAUUUCGGGCACAAAUUCCUCUAGAUGUGCUUCCAACAUUUCAUCUCAUUUGCACGGAGUUGCAAGCUCCUCAUUUAUUUUUCCAGGUGCUACAGCUGGAAAAGGACGGCGACAGGGUCGGGGGGUGUAAUUGGUGAAGAGGGUCGUGGAUACUUGGCGGUCAUCGAUCAGCACAUAAUCUGUAAAUUACGAAGGCACAUUGGUUGCAGAAUAAAGGAUGGCCAUUGACAUUGCUGCCACAUCCAGGGCACAGUGGAUAAAUUGAGUACUUGCAAUUGAAGCAGCAUGCUUAUACGAGGAGCUAGUCAUCAUCGCAAUCUGGUAAGUUCAUGCCGAGGGGAUUGCUGCACUGGGGACAUAAAACUCUGUCCUUGUCCAAAGGGAGCUCGUGUAUGGAGUGCUGAAUCUUUGCCAUGUUCAUGCCCACCCAGUUUGUCGAGGAUCUGAGGCUAAGCUACAUGAUCAGCAUCGAUCCUCCACAUAGUCAAUAUCCAUCCUUUCUCAAAGGGGUGGGAAACAAUAUAUCGCUUGCAGUGAUUCUGUGCUA